UUCGCAAUGCCCGAAAGGGUGACGAAGCGACGCCGCGUGGGUGAAGAAGGCCUUCGGGUUGUAAAGCCCUGUCAGGAGUUAUGAAAUGUAAGCGCGCUAAUAUCGCGCUUAUUUGACAAAGGCUCCAAAGGAAGCCACGGCUAACUCUGUGCCAGCAGCCGCGGUAAUACAGAGGUGGCGAGCGUUGUUCGGAAUUAUUGGGCGUAAAGAGCACGUAGGUGGGUUUGCAAGUCAGAUGUGAAAGCCUUCUGUUCAACGGAAGAAUUGCAUCUGAAACUGCUAAUCUUGAGUAUAGGAGGGGAGAAUGGAACUUCUGGUGGAGCGGUGAAAUGCGUAGAUAUCAGAAGGAACGCCGGCGGCGAAAGCGAUUCUCUGGCCUAUUACUGACACUCAGUGUGCGAAAGCUAGGGGAGCAAACGGGAUUAGAUACCCCGGUAGUCCUAGCCGUAAACGAUGGGCACUAAGUAGAGGGGUUUU
rnacentral:rRNA from 1 species